rnacentral:misc_RNA from 1 species
GAUGAAGAACGUAGCGAAAUGCGAUAAGUAAUGUGAAUUGCAGAAUUCAGUGAAUCAUCGAAUCUUUGAACGCACAUUGCGCCCGCUAGUAUUCUGGGGGCAUGCCUGUCCGAGCGUCAUUUCAACCCUCAAGCCCCCGGGCUUGGUGUUGGGGAUCGGCGAGCCUCCGCGCCCGCCGUCCCCUAAAUCUAGUGGCGGUCUCGCUGUAGCUUCCUCUGCGUAGUAGCACACCUCGCACUGGGAAACAGCGCGGCCACGCCGUUAAACCCCCAACUUCUGAACGUUUGACCUCGGAUCAGGUAGGAAUACCCGCUGAACUUAAGCAUAUCAAUAAGCGGAGGA